AAAUAAGGGUGCAACAUUCAUUCUCCAUGAAAAGAAUACAUCACAUGGAUGUAAUUUUUGUAAGAAAAAUACCAAUUUCGUGAGAAGUUGUGUGUUGGACUUGAAGAGCCAAGGCAAACUGACAAAUAUCUGAAUGAACGAAUCGAUUUAUGGUAUAUAAAAAAAAAAGCCCACAUGGUUAGCAUUGAAUAAAUAGAAGGCCACUCUUAAAUGAUCACAACGUAGAAGUUUUUGUUCUCUUAAUCAAUAAGAUAUUUUCUGAAAUAACGCGGGUCCCUAUUAACUUAAAAGUUUUUUUGUUUUUUUUUACCAUGAAUAAACUUUUUUUUUAUUAUUAUUUAU
rnacentral:lncRNA from 1 species